UACGUAGGGGGCAAGCGUUGUCCGGAUUUAUUGGGCGUAAAGAGCGUGUAGGCGGUCAGGUAGGUCCGUUGUGAAAACUCGAGGCUCAACCUCGAGGCGCCGAUGGAAACCAUCUGACUAGAGUCCGGAAGAGGAGAGUGGAAUUCCUGGUGUAGCGGUGAAAUGCGCAGAUAUCAGGAAGAACACCCGUGGCUAAGGCGGCUCUCUAGUACGGUACUGACGCUGAGACGCGAAAGCGUGGGGAGCGAACAGG
rnacentral:rRNA from 1 species